rnacentral:snoRNA from 1 species
GUCAGAUGAUUUGAAUUGUUCAAACUGAUGCCCUGUGAGGUAUGACAGUUAAUAGCAUGUUAGAGUUCUGAUGGCA